rnacentral:rRNA from 1 species
AUUGAACGCUGGCGGCAUGCCUUACACAUGCAAGUCGAACGGUAACAGGUCUUCGGAUGCUGACGAGUGGCGAACGGGUGAGUAAUACAUCGGAACGUGCCCGAUCGUGGGGGAUAACGGAGCGAAAGCUUUGCUAAUACCGCAUACGAUCUACGGAUGAAAGCAGGGGACCGCAAGGCCUUGCGCGGACGGAGCGGCCGAUGGCAGCUUAGGUAGUUGGUGGGAUAAAAGCUUACCAAGCCGACGAUCUGUAGCUGGUCUGAGAGGACGACCAGCCACACUGGGACUGAGACACGGCCCAGACUCCUACGGGAGGCAGCAGCGGGGAAUUUUGGACAAUGGGCGCAAGCCUGAUCCAGCCAUGCCGCGUGCAGGAUGAAGGCCUUCGGGUUGUAAACUGCUUUUGUACGGAACGAAAAGACUCUGGUUAAUACCUGGGGUCCAUGACGGUACCGUAAGAACAAGCACCGGCUAACUACGUGCCAGCAGCCGCCGUAACAC